AGGACGAACGCUGGCGGCGUGCUUAACACAUGCAAGUCGAACGGUAAGGCCUUUCGGGGUACACGAGUGGCGAACGGGUGAGUAACACGUGGGUGAUCUGCCCUGCACUUUGGGAUAAGCCUGGGAAACUGGGUCUAAUACCGAAUAUGACCAUUGGUUGCAUGACUGGUGGUGGAAAGCUUUUGCGGUGUGGGAUGGGCCCGCGGCCUAUCAGCUUGUUGGUGGGGUUAAGGCCUACCAAGGCGACGACGGGUAGCCGGCCUGAGAGGGUGUCCGGCCACACUGGGACUGAGAUACGGCCCAGACUCCUACGGGAGGCAGCAGUGGGGAAUAUUGCACAAUGGGCGCAAGCCUGAUGCAGCGACGCCGCGUGAGGGACGACGGCCUUCGGGUUGUAAACCGUCUUUCAGUAGGGACGAAGCGCAAGUGACGGUACCUACAGAAGAAGGACCGGCCAACUACGCGCCAGCAGCCGC
rnacentral:rRNA from 1 species